UCAAAUCCUAACGUCCUUAACUGGAAAAUGGCAAGACUCACUUACUUAACUUAGUGAGCAAUACUUUGUAUAAAAGCAACACAGUCAGAUGCCUUUUUUUCCCCCUAGGGAUGAGCUUCCGACUGGAAACUGAGUGAGAAGGCAAAGAACAUACUGAUCCAUGUGCUGGAAUUUGUCCCUGGGGUUAGAGAGAGUGCCUCACGUCUUUACCUUACUCAAAUAUUUACAGCACAAAUGGGUGUCUGAUGAAGUAGUGUUAUGGGCUGAGUUGUAUGCUGCCAUGUGGAGAAGUCCUGACCCCCAGUACCUCAGAACAUGAUGGAUUUGGAGACAGGGACUUCGAAGAGGUGAUUACAGUAAAAUGAGGUCAUGUAGGGGGGCCCUAGUUCAAUAGGACUGGUGUCUUUAUAAGUAAAGGGCAGCACGCAGGCCUGCAAGCAGGAAGACCAUGGGAAGACGAGCAGGACACAGUCAUCCACAAGACAAGGAGAGAGGCCCCAGAAGAAACCAACAUUGCUGACAGCUUGAUUUCAGACUUGUAGCCUUCAGGAUUAUGAGAAAACAAAUCUCUGUUGUUUAAGCCCCCCAGUCAGUGGUGCUUUGUUAUGACAGCCCGAGCUAACCAAUACAACGGGUGUUUGUAAUCACUAUGUGUACAGGCUUUGGGGGCAGCCAGCGUGGGUUUGAAUCUCAGCUGGGCUUCUUUCUGGCUCUGGGAUCUUGGAUGAUUUAGUAAACGUGGAAGCCUCAGUUUUCCCCUCUGCAAAAUAGGAAAAACAGUUUCUGCUUGUAUCAUUGUGAGGCUUAAAAUGAGGCAAUGCAUUUAAGACGCUUAGCACAGGGUUUGGCAAGGAGGUAAGUGCUCGAUGCCUUUAUUCCUUCAACAAAUACUUACCAAAAGACUAUGUGCCAGGCAUUGUUCUAGGUGCUGGGAUCAUAUAGUGAAUUAGACAAAAACCUCUUUGCCCUCUGGUAGCUUUCAUUCUGGUGGGGGAGGACAGAUAAUAAACAAUUAUGUAAAAUCUAUAGUAAGUUAGAG
rnacentral:lncRNA from 1 species